AGUGAACGCUGGCGGUAGGCCUAACACAUGCCAGUCGAACGGCAGCACAGUAAGAGCUUGCUCUUACGGGUGGCGAGUGGCGGACGGGUGAGGAAUACAUCGGAAUCUACUUUUUCGUGGGGGAUAACGUAGGGAAACUUACGCUAAUACCGCAUACGACCUACGGGUGAAAGCAGGGGAUCUUCGGACCUUGCGCGAUUGAAUGAGCCGAUGUCGGAUUAGCUAGUUGGCGUGGUAAAGGCCCACCAAGGCGACGAUCCGUAGCUGGUCUGAGAGGAUGAUCAGCCACACUGGAACUGAGACACGGUCCAGACUCCUACGGGAGGCAGCAGUGGGGAAUAUUGGACAAUGGGCGCAAGCCUGAUCCAGCCAUACCGCGUGGGUGAAGAAGGCCUUCGGGUUGUAAAGCCCUUUUGUUGGGAAAGAAAAGCAGCAGGUUAAUACCCCGCUGUUCUGACGGUACCCAAAGAAUAAGCACCGGCUAACUUCGUG
rnacentral:rRNA from 1 species